rnacentral:tRNA from 1 species
GGCGAUAUAGCCAAAUGGUAAGGCAAAGGUCUGCAAAACCUUGAUCGCCGGUUCAAAUCCGGCUAUCGCCUUUU